rnacentral:rRNA from 1 species
CUGACGGUAGUCGUAUGCUCGUCUCCGAGACUAAGCCAUGCAAGUCCAAGUACACGUCCUUGAACGACGGAAACUGCGAACGGCUCAUUAAAUCAGUUGCGAUCUACUCGGCGUUCCGCGCCGCCGGAUAACCGUAGUAAUUCUAGGGCUAAUACGUGCGAAGCGCCCGAAGCCGCGAGGCGACGGGCGUUCUCGCCGGAUGUAGGAACCGACCCGGGGACCGCCGGGGCAACCCGGCGCCCCCGAGACGGGGCGAACCACGGUGAAAUGACGGAUCGUCGGCCCCGCGCCGGCGACUCGCCGAAUGAGUUUCUGACCUAUCAACUCGAGACGGCGGGGUAGAGGCCCGCCGCGGUAACGACGGGUAACGGGGAAUCAGGGUUCGAUUCCGGAGAGGGAGCCCGAGAAACGGCUACCACUUCCAAGGAAGGCAGCAGG